GAUCCCAGGCCGAGUUUUCGCUUUUAUAACGGCUAGGCGAACAACUGGGCCUGGUACUAGUUGUCUGCGCAUGCGUCAAUCGUUCGUCAGAUUCUGACGAAUGGAUAUUCUCGUUCACUUUCGUGACAUUUAUAUUCGUGUACUAUAGUGUACUAGAAGUCAGUUCCCGUUUUAUCAUUAUUGGAAUCGAUUGGAAUGGCUCUUAGCUGAAGCUUCUCUCUUCUCUGAAGCUUAUUCUGAAGACUGAACAACAAGGGAAGAGGUAUAAAGCUUUGUCAAGCUUGUUAAGGUCAGAUAUUUUUGUGUGGGCCCUAUGGCCGGCUAUGCUAUCAAGUCUUGUUCAUGUUUGGCAAGAAUGUAGGUAGACUAUAGUUUCAUCAUUAAGAUGAUGGAUCAAGUGAAGAGUGUGAGCUAGAGAACUUGGUGCUGCCAUCAUCAGCUCGUCGACAAUGACACUAUAACCGAGAAAUUUAAUAUGUAUAGAUCUACACGUAUUUAAAAUGUCUACUUCUCUGUACAGGAGCAAUGGCUAAUAUCCAGCUAUCCCAACAGUGCUGCUCCUCUUGGCUAUACUAACGGACGAGACUGGACAGUUUGAGACACAGGACUGGAGUAUGACCUGCUCAUUCGAGCGUUGCUUGUGUAGCUCAGAGACAUCAAGAGCAUCUACGUUUUCUCAAGCAAUGAGUUACGAGUUGGGGCCUAGAAUCAGAGAAGUCCAGCAGCCUGCUAAAUCUUUUUGAAACGUAAUUUGAAGGCAUUCAAUCAUCCUGAAGUUGCCCUGGGUCACUGUAAUUGUGCUGCAGCACAACUGGCAACUCCCCAGGCCUUUGUGAAGCAGCUCCCUAUGUGCAUCUUUUGUGUACUCACUCUGUGCAUUUUCUGUGUACAAAUUUCCAUUAUUGAUUUAUUAAAUAUUUUUGCCGACCACAAA